rnacentral:rRNA from 1 species
AUUGAACGCUGGCGGCAUGCCUUACACAUGCAAGUCGAACGGCAGCACGGGUGCUUGCACCUGGUGGCGAGUGGCGAACGGGUGAGUAAUACAUCGGAACAUGUCCUGUAGUGGGGGAUAGCCCGGCGAAAGCCGGAUUAAUACCGCAUACGAUCUACGGAUGAAAGCGGGGGACCUUCGGGCCUCGCGCUAUAGGGUUGGCCGAUGGCUGAUUAGCUAGUUGGUGGGGUAAAGGCCAACCAAGGCGACGACCAGUAGCUGGUCUGAGAGGACGACCAGCCACACUGGGACUGAGACACGGCCCAGACUCCUACGGGAGGCAGCAGUGGGGAAUUUUGGACAAUGGGCGAAAGCCUGAUCCAGCAAUGCCGCGUGUGUGAAGAAGGCCUUCGGGUUGUAAAGCACUUUUGUCCGGAAAGAAAUCCUUGGCCCUAAUACGGUCGGAGGAUGACGGUACCGGAAGAAUAAGCACCGGCUAACUACGUG